rnacentral:lncRNA from 10 species
AGUGGUGGCAAAAUGGUCUCCACUAAUUCUAGGCCUAAAAUUCUCUACAUAGGUUAGCCCUCCAAAAGUGAAGACUCUGUUUUGCAAAGGUUUAAGAAAUAGUCUUGGCCUGAACAAGGAUCUUAUUUUCCCAGCUUAAAUCACAUGCAAGGGGGAUUGGAAAUUUUCAUUAUGCAAUAAAAAAAGGAUUUAAAUUGUGACACUGGCAUUGAGACAAGAUGGCAGGUGAAAGCUGGAAGAGACUCAAGAAGACUGUAGGUGAAGUCUGAAAGGAUAACGAGCAAACUCUUACUUGAAGUUAGAAGAAAGAAGAAUCUUGAUAUGUAGUGGCUGAAAGUUCAGCAAAACUGUCACCUCUCAUAAAAUAGAAAAUAUAUUGAAUGAACUUGAUAAUCUAGUUAAAGAAAGUGUUGAAGGUGCCACCUGCCUUCUUCAAGCUGCGUAUAGUAAAGUUAGAAGAGGAGAGUUAUGAGCUAAAGAAUGAACCAAUCGGUUGUCUGUCUAACGGAAACUGGAAGAAAUGUUAAAUGCUCAGAAAAGUCUGUUCAAUCAGUAGAAGGUUCUCGAAGUAAUAAGCAGCCUCAGGGCAAAGAUCAAGUACAGACCUCAAUUGUAAGAUCCUUUGUUGAGACCUCAGAGCUAAGUCAGUGCUUUAUAGACACUUCAGGCACAUAAAAGGCACCCAAAGAUUCUCAGGCGUGUUUCUAAGAGUCCUCUGUUAAACAAUAGGGCUUCUAAGAACCUUAAGAGCAUUUUUCCACAGAAAACUCAUAGGGUGUUUAAGGUCAAGAAGGGAUUAUUUCUAAGAGAGUUGUAGGUUUGGCUUUGGCUUAAUUGAGUGGAUUAUAAAAUGAUAAACAGGAAAUUCGUAAUCAUUUAAAAAUUGUAUUGUAAUGGUUUGUAUUACAAUACCAAAAAUUGUAUUGUAAUAUUAUAGUUGUUUUUUCUUUUAAGUCCCAGUUUUGACAAACAGGAACACUAUACAAAAUGAAGAGAGGCUUUUGAGUUCCCAACUUUCCGUGGGCAGAAAUCAGAUGAGCUGGCCACAGUAGUCCUCCUUUAUAGAUGUGGAAUUCUUUCCAAGACCCCCCAGUGGAUGCCUGAAACCAUGUGUAGUACUGAUCCCGGUUGCUGUCUAUUGGAACACAUUUCAGUUCAUGUCUUCCACCCACAAAUUUAAUGCCUUUUCCAUCUUAACCAAGCAUAUAUUACACACUCUAGCUGUAACUUUUGCGGUUUGAGGUGAAACAGCUAAAUUAGAACACAUUUCUUUCCUUCUUCACAAUUUUAUGGAUAGAAGUUUCAUUCUUACUGUAGUCCUUGGCAACCUCAGCAUACAACUUUUUGCUUUUCCUUAUUAAGUCAAGAACUUUCAUUGUUUUACUUAAAGGAAGUACUUUACAGCUUCUCUUUGGCAUAUCCAAAUUGCCAGUAUCACUUCUCUAGUGCUUUGGAAUUAUUAUUAAGUAAAAUAAGGGUUACUUGCCAAUAAGACAGCUGAGAUGUCUACUAAGAGAAUAACAGUCAGGUAGUGUAGAUAGCAUGCACAGGCUGGACAAAGGGAUGAUUCACACCCAGGAGGGAUAGGGAAGAAUGAAGCAGGAUGGCAUGAGAUUUCAUUAUGCUACUAAGGAGGUCAUGCAGUUUAAGAUUUAUGAAUUGUUUCUUUCUGGAAUUUUCCAUUUAGUAUUUUCAGACUACAGUUGAUCGGGAGUAAUGGAAAUCACAGAAAAUGGAUAUGUGGAGGAAGGGGUGACGACUGCACUCUGUUACAACUACAGACUAUUUCUUAUGAAAGAUGACUUAGAAGGUAGAACCAAAAGUCAUGGAGAAUAAUACCCAAGAAGUGAGAGUGAGCCCUAAUCACAAAACUACCCACAGGUGUCCAGCUGAAUUUCAGAAUCGAGUUCUGUCUCCUAGGCUGGAGUGCAGUGGAAAAAUUACAGCUCACUCUAGUCACAGCCUCCUGAGCUCAAGCCUUCUACCUCAUUCUCCUGAUUGGCGGGGACCACGGGUACAUGACACCACACCUGGCUAAUUUUUUUUUUUUCUUAUUUUUUAUAGAGACAGGACUUCUCUAUGUUACCCAGGCUGGUCUCAAACUCCUGGCCUCAGGUAAUCUUCCAGCCUUGGACUUCCAAAGUGCUGGGAUUACAGGCCUGAGCCCCUGUGCUUGGCCUAUGGAUUUUUGACAUUACAUUCACCAAUAUGAUCACUCUUCUUUGAAUCUACAUGGGCAGAUGACUUGCAUGUAAUCAGUACAAUGAAACAGAAGAGACACUGCGUGGUUCCUAGGCCAAUUGCAACUUCUACUUGAUUUGCUGGAACACUUGUCUUUGGAGCCUUAAGCUGCCACAUAAAAAGUCUAACUACGCUGAAACAUGCAUGCUUUGAAGAGAGGCCAAGCCACAUGGACUCAUCACAUGUACACUUUAGGACUAGCAGUUUUAAUCUUUCAGUCAUUUCAUCCAGGUGCCAAAUGCACCAAUGAAUUAUCCCUUCAAAGAUUUUAACCUCCAGCCAUUGAGUCACCCACAACUUUGAGACCCAGACAUUAUGAAAAGGACGUAAGCACCCCGCUGAAUAAUAGCAAAAUUUCCAACUUGCAGAAUCCACAAGCAUAAUAAAGUGGCUAUUUUAAGCAACUAAGUUUUGGAGUAAUUUGUCACACCAUAAUUUGACCUUUAAAAUAAAUUGAUCUGUAAUUCAGGACAAACUAAACAACAUAUAUUCACCAUCAGUGGACAAUGAUUAUAAUAAUUUAAGUGAAACAAGUGUGAUUUUUAAAUUCAUUUCUUUUUUAUAAUUGAAGUAGAGAAUGUAAUAAUAAAUAAGCCUAGACAUUUCGGUUGAAA